GGGAAUGUGCCUGAAUUCAAGGGUCACUAUGAUAAAGUGAACAUAGAGAUACACUAACCCUCUCAUUUCCU
rnacentral:tRNA from 1 species